rnacentral:rRNA from 1 species
UACGUAGGGACCAAGCGUUGUUCGGAUUUACUGGGCGUAAAGCGUGCGCAGGCGGUUGUGCAAGACAGAUGUGAAAUCCCCGGGCUCAACCUGGGAAUUGCAUUUGUGACUGCAAGGCUUGAGUGCGGCAGAGGGGGAUGGAAUUCCGCGUGUAGCAGUGAAAUGCGUAGAUAUGCGGAGGAACACCGAUGGCGAAGGCAAUCCCCUGGGCCUGCACUGACGCUCAUGCACGAAAGCGUGGGGAGCAAACAGG